GCCGGGUGUGGUGGUGCUCACCUGUAAUCCUAGUGGCUGUGGAGGCUGAGGCAGGAUGAUUGUGAGUUCAAAACCAGCCUCAGCAAUUUAGCUAGGUGCUAAGCAAUUCAGUGAGACCCUGUCUCUA
rnacentral:sRNA from 1 species